rnacentral:rRNA from 1 species
UACGGAGGGUGCAAGCGUUAAUCGGAAUUACUGGGCGUAAAGCGCGCGUAGGUGGUUCAGUAAGUUGGAAGUGAAAUCCCCGGGCUCAACCUGGGAACUGCUUUCAAAACUGCUGAGCUAGAGUACGGUAGAGGGUAGUGGAAUUUCCUGUGUAGCGGUGAAAUGCGUAGAUAUAGGAAGGAACACCAGUGGCGAAGGCGACUACCUGGACUGAUACUGACACUGAGGUGCGAAAGCGUGGGGAGCAAACAGG